rnacentral:rRNA from 1 species
AGAGUUUGAUCAUGGCUCAGAUUGAACGCUGGCGGCAGGCCUAACACAUGCAAGUCGAGCGGUAACAUUUCUAGCUUGCUAGAAGAUGACGAGCGGCGGACGGGUGAGUAAUGCUUGGGAACAUGCCUUGAGGUGGGGGACAACCGUUGGAAACGACGGCUAAUACCGCAUGAUGUCUACGGACCAAAGGGGGCUUCGGCUCUCGCCUUUAGAUUGGCCCAAGUGGGAUUAGCUAGUUGGUGAGGUAAUGGCUCACCAAGGCGACGAUCCCUAGCUGGUUUGAGAGGAUGAUCAGCCACACUGGAACUGAGACACGGUCCAGACUCCUACGGGAGGCAGCAGUGGGGAAUAUUGCACAAUGGGCGCAAGCCUGAUGCAGCCAUGCCGCGUGUGUGAAGAAGGCCUUCGGGUUGUAAAGCACUUUCAGUCAGGAGGAAAGGUUAGUAGUUAAUACCUGCUAGCUGUGACGUUACUGACAGAAGAAGCACCGGCUAACUCCGUGCCAGCAGCCGCGGUAAUAC